GACGAACGCUGGCGGCGUGCUUAACACAUGCAAGUCGAGCGGUAAGGCCCUUUCGGGGGUACACGAGCGGCGAACGGGUGAGUAACACGUGGGUGACCUGCCCUCAGCUCUGGGAUAAGCCUGGGAAACCGGGUCUAAUACCGGAUAUGACUCCAUGACGCAUGUUGUGGGGUGGAAAGCCUUGUGCGGCUGAGGAUGGGCCCGCGGCCUAUCAGCUUGUUGGUGGGGUGAUGGCCUACCAAGGCGACGACGGCUAGCUGGUCUGAGAGGACGACCAGCCACACUGGGACUGAGACACGGCCCAGACUCCUACGGGAGGCAGCAGUGGGGAAUCUUGCGCAAUGGGCGAAAGCCUGACGCAGCAACGCCGCGUGGGGA
rnacentral:rRNA from 1 species